UCAGUAUCACCCCAGCACUCAGCAAGGGUGCAGCCCCCUCCCCAAAGGCACUGCCGGGAUGGCUGUGAUGGGGUGUCCCUGCUCCAGCCCCAGCAGGGAGGUGGGUGGCCAGGGCCGCCCACCCCAAGCCCUGCUUCCCUGGGAGCUGC